AAGAUAAUAGCUUAAUGGUAAAGCAUUCUGCUCAUAACGGAAGUGAUGGAAGUUCGACUCUUCCUUGUCUUA